AGUGCACUCAGCGAGACAGAUGCACAUCCUGUGGACCUUUAUCCCACGUCCAGCUUGAAUCCAUGGGCACCAGUUUUCCACAGGUAAAAUGUGGCAUCUGUCGGUGUAAAAAGGAUUUUGGAUUCUCCACCCACACUGAAGCAGAGCGGAUGUGGCUGAAUCUCUUCGUCAUGAGGGAUUUUGCCAUCUUCUCUAGUGCGCAUGUGAAAGGGAAGUACUGACAAAGGAUGUUAAUCCUGAACACAUACGGUGUGGUGUGUCGUCUUCCGGAGCCUUGCUGCGAUUGGUCCAUUUGCUUUUAAAUUUCUGAGGGUGCUGCGUUCUGUGGAGAGACCUGCUGACAAUGAGAGUAUAGUGCUGCUGCCGGAGUGAGAUGUGAAGUUUAGUUUCCAGUUGUGUGGCAGCGCAAUGUUGCAGGAAAGGUGGUAUAACUUCCUGUGAACGCACUUGAUUGCUACGAGCGUGUGCACUCGGGACGGCGGCAGUCGUUCUGGACGGGCUGUGUGAUAAGUAAGCCCGGCGUGGCAACUGUUGACGUGGCGUGUCUGCGUUGCUAUGGCAGAACUGGGGCGAUUGACUUAACUCAAGUUGGUGCUGGUGGCAACCUGUCACCAAAUGCUUGUCUGCCUUCUGGACUAACGGUGAGAAUUUCUUGACUUGAUGUCUCACUCAGUUUAUGACCGUGUCAAAGUGUGUGUUUUGCUCUAAGGUCGUGUGCCAUGGUGUUUCACAAUUUUAGUAGGCUCAGGCAUGCCCAAAAUCCCGAUUCAAUGAUCUGAUGUUAUAUAGUCAAGUGUAACUAUCACUAGAAAAGUGUGUUUACUCUCUGUGCCUUAAUAACUGAACUUAAAAUAUUAUCUGUGGUUGAAAUUUUAUUCUGACCCAAGUGCAAUAACGAUCUUGUAUUUUACAAUUUCUUGAGUGGCAUUAUUUAGUACUGGCUGUCACAUUUACUAAGUCAAAGAUUUACGAAGGCCAGUGGGCAUUAUUAACAGUUCCUGCCUAGAGAGGCGUUAUAUUUUGAACCAUGUGUUUCAAUGUUAAGUAAUUUUUAUUUUAUGUGUUAUAGAGAGUUGCUGUCAUGCCCUGUGUGGACGAUUCACCAUGUUGGUGAAGUUUCUAAUUGUUAUGCUGGUCUGUGCCAUAUUGCUAAAACAGGCGGUCCUAGCACAGCUGAUAGUAAAUGUUUCCUAGUGGUGAGGAGCACGGGCUGGUUUUUGAAGUGCUAACUCACUAACUUCAACCAUUCUCAAAUAUUUAUUACUACUGAUAUUCAGGCCCUUCAGGCUGAAUGGCGACAUCACUACCCCGUUUUGGUUAUUAAUUUUAUCUUGUUAGCUUGUUUCAUUAAAAAAAAAACCCUUUGGUAUAUGAAUUUGUCUGUUAGUCUUUACUGCUCCUUUGGACGAAGUAAAUUAACUGUUGCCUGCUUACCUUACGUUUUGGUUCAGUUUUCCCAUACCAUUACGUAUCAGUGAUCAGUAUAUUAUGGUUAUCUUAUUCUGUAGAACCUUCAGAAGUGGUGCUACCAGCCUCUGCCAGUUUAGAGCCACUCCUGAAAGUCACUGACUGCUGAACUUGAGAAGGGCUAUUAAUUGAACCAAAUGUCUGGAUUCACUUUGAACUUGCUCUUCUAGCAGUAAUGAUACUCAUGAUUAGUCAUUUGCAUCAAUAAUCAUUAAGAUUAUCAGUAUGUCGUGUUCCUCAUCAGCUCUGUUCAUUGAAAUGCCAGAGCCAAAUUAACUUGGUUAUCAGAAACUAUAUGUGGGAUUCAGUGUGUAAUAGUACUGUGCAAGCUUACUAAUUUCUCCUUUUUCAUGGUUGUGGUGACAGACCAAUCCAUAGUGCAGACCCAGGUAUAGAGAAGGUUGAAAGGUGAAAAAAUUGUUGCACAGCCAACAAUUCUGAUAUGGAAGUAAUGAUUGUGUUUACAAAUUGCAAAUUGGUUUGUAACAUAGCUUGAUGUCUACAUUUAUGCCAUAUCCAAUGCACUGUUCAUUAUGAAAACUGAAACUGUCAGGUGAAUUGAGAAAACCUGUAUGGAGUAGAAGAAGAGUUCCCGAGAAGUAUUUUGGUGGAUGUACAUAGGUCAUGCAUAAACUCAAGGAGGGGUUGGCAAUCACUUUCAACCCCUUGUAGGAAGAAAUUGCAAUUUAUUUAAGGGCAAUUUGUUAACAACAUGAAAUUUAGUAUAACACUGUUCAUACCCUCUGGUAUUGUAAUACUAGGUCCAUUUCUUUCACUUUUGCUGUUUCUGCUACAAAUGCACGGACAGAUGAAUGCAUUGGUGCAAUAACCAUAUAAGUUACAUUUUUCAUACUUCCAAGUAAAGCACUAAUCUCUGAAAUAGAAGAACUUCAUUAACUGGUGUUGUCUUCAUCCAACCUUAUUUAGACUACCAACACAAUUAUAAUAGCCUACCAUAUAACCAAAGAUUUAUCAUAUUUAUUGAAUUGAAGAAAUUGGACUAGUAUCGUUUUUACACCAAAAAGUUCUGUUUAAUGUUCAAAAAUUAAAGUAACUGAAACAACUAUUGGCACUUGAAAGUUUACUGAAUAUUGUGAGCAGUAUGUGGCUUGAAAAGAAUUGGUACCCUAGUGGAAUCAUAAGUAUGUAUGAUACACAAGUUCAUUAUGCUUCUCUUUCUGACAAACUGUAAGUGGCAUCUGUAACUGUUGUCGCAGAUGACCUUGUCAUAUAAUCCAUGUCUGAUGCAGGAAAGUUCUUAUUCAGCCUCAUGAUCUGUUUCUGUUUGAUUUAACUAGCAGAGGCACUUCCUAAAUGCCCUUCUCAGGCAAUGCAGCUGAGCCAUCCUGAAUGAUGAAAUCGUGAUUGACAGAUUGUCAUAAUGAAGCACUACAGCAAACUAGAAGCUUAUUUGCAAUGGAGUACUUACAGACCUUUUAUUUUGGAAAAGUAAACUUCUUAGUGUUAAGCUGAUACAGCAGUUUUGAGGGAGACGAGAAGUGUAAAACUACAUCUUGUGUAACAUCAACCACAGAGAACUCCUUGGAUGUAUUUCACGUUCCAGAAUGGCUACUGUUUGUUGCAGUGACAGUGCAAGCUAUUGAAAUGUCUGGUUCUUGCCCCAAAGAUCCAGUGUCAAAAACUCCAUUGCCUGUGCUACUCUGAAUUUUAAAUGCAGAGGUCUCAAUUUUGCGUCAUGUGAUGGAGCGAUUUUCAACGAUUUAGUGGUAUUAAAAUCGUAUUUUUGGCCAAAACUGUACAUUUCUGGCUAAUGCACAAAUGCCUUCAUGAAAAGGGAGAUGGUCAAAUUUCGGAGGCAAGUGAUACUAAGGUAUGAAUACAUUACAUUUAUAACAGGUUGCAAAGAUAGGUACCAAGAAACAGUUUGAAAGAACUUUUGGAUUAUGUAAGCAAAUUGUAAUUAAAAGGUAUGGUAUAGUACUCAAAUAUUCAUGUAC